UUUUUUUCUUUUCUCUCUCUGUGUCUUACCCCAAAUUUAUAGAUAACAAAUUCCUCCUGGUCUUCAUUUUACUUGACUGAAAACAAACAAAUUUCAUCUAACCUCACCUCAUAUGGUGGGCUGGUCAUUGCUCACACCAUAUGAGUGCUAAUUGUCUAUAUCUGUUCUAGCCCAAGUUCCUUGUAUCUAAAUAUGUGUGAUGAAAUCUGUAUUUUAAAUUAGGCAUCACAUUUAUAUGACAUUUAUAUUUAUGUAGUUCAACUGGAAUCUGCUGAACUGAAACACCUUUUAAUAAUAUUUUUCAUAGCUGCUUUUCUUUGUUGGGUGUUGGUCCUUCUGUGGUUACCUAAGGUACAGAUGUUUUUCUCCUUCAGUUCUAGCUGAUGCACUUACGAGUUCUUUCAGAAAUUUCUGUUAUUUCCUCAAUUCAGGACCUUGUAUUCUAUUUUACUAUUACAUUUUUGUUUCUUCAUGUUUCAAGGUCAUCUAGUUCUUCCUAGGUGUUAUUCCAGUUAUAUCUUGAAAAAUUAUCUAACCAGCUUUAUGAUGUUAGCCAGUUUCUUAAUUUGGACACAGUUUUUGUGAUAAAGAAAUUAAUGAAAAUAGUGAAAUAAAGCAAAUUCCCAAAUCUUAAAUAAAAUUAGUCAAUGAGCAAAUUUCUUCAAGGAUGCCUUUUCAAGGCAAUGUCACAUAAUGUCCCCUUCAUACCUUUCCAUUCCUUUGGCUCUGUUCCUACUGGCUGUUCUGUCUUUGGUUCUACCUUCUGCAUCACUGUCAUUUCUGAAAGUGGGCAAAACAAUCUGCUCUGUAGUACAGGGGCUUAAUUUCCUUCUGGUUGAUCUUUUUGAGAAAUACAAUAUUUCUGACAAGAUAUCAAGAUUUACAUUUCAGAUUUGUAACUUUAGCCUCCAUUUCAAGAAAACAGAAUAUUUUUUCUGACGGAAUAUAACUUUAGUAACUUCUGAACUCAAUGGGCUACAUUUACAAAAGCAGCCAGAUCUUUCAAUUUUACUUAAUGCAGAAAAAUUCAAUUAGUUAAUAACACCUAAUGUCUCUCUGCUUUCAUCCCAUGACUAAAUUCUGGACUGCACUUUUCUAGCUAAUUCUGAAGUUUUCAUGCUGAACAAUUUUGUUCCUUUCUGCUUAAUGUUUUGUUAAAUGAUAUAUCUCAGCAGGCUGUUCCUAAGUUAAAGUGGUUUUAUUGUACAGUCUUCUGGGUAAUAUAGAGCCUGUCAGUCAGAAGGAAAUCAGUAUAAUUAUGUGUUACCACACAAGUUCUGUAUCCACUGAGCUGCGUUUUCUCUUUUCUGGUCAUUAAAGACCAAGCUAAAUGUAUUAAAUGCACGGUUUCUUACAGGCCCUUCAUCAGGCCAGUUCAGCCAGCAGGUACACAUUUUAGAACGUGAUUCUGCUCUUUCCUGAACAUGCACCAUAGUUUAGCUUGAAGAUGAAAGAUUGAUGUAACAUAUCAGCUAGGUGUUACACUUAUAUUUUAUCAUGGUGUGGAGAGGAUUUUAGGUUUCUUAGAGAAGUUUAUUUCAUAAUAAUGACAAGCCAUGUACAUGUAUUGUAAGUUAUUUCUAUGCCUUGUAAGUUAGCACUAUAUUGAAUCCUUUCUUUAAAAGUGAUGACGUAUCUCCUAAUUGCAACAAUAUUGAUUUUUAUUUUAAGGAUUAACACUACUCACUGUCUUAGUAGUUUCCUUAUACCUUGGCAUUUCCUCUUAUUUUUUUCAAUUUCUUUCAAGGAAACAAAGCACUUCAGAUUUCCUUGUUUGAAGCCAUAUAGCAUCUGGUACGUGGGCAGCUGCAUGAGGUAGAAAUGUCAGAAGAAGCCUCUGUUAUCUAUGCCACAUCUCUGUACCACAGCCAGUUAAAACGGCUUCCUAAAGAAAGCUGGCAUUGCUAUACCUGUGUUGUCCUACCUCCCCUCCCUUUUGGUGCUGAAGGCUGAGUGAGAGAGUUGGCAGAGGCCUUCUCUGCCUCCAGCCUGAGCAGGCAAUGGAACUGGCUGGCUGCAGAGACAGAAGUUUAGAAAGAGCUUAGUGCAUCUUGGGUGCAAUAUGGUUGGAGACAUAAAAUAUUCUGUGGUGUUAUUAGAUCUGGAUGUUACUGAGCUAAAUUAUUAUUUUUUUUUCGGUGAUAACUCCAAACAAAUUAACAGAUGCAAGCAGCCUCAUUUUUUCAUUAUUUUUGAGCUGGAUCAUUACUAGUAGUUUCAAUUAUUUAAUUUUUUGGGUUCAUGAAAAGCAUAUUACUUAAUAUCAUUAAUAUUUAAUUAACUUUGCUUUGAAAACCAUUAUCACUGACUCACUUUCCUGUAAAUAUGUCUGAGUCUUGGAUGUUGACAAUGAGUAACUGAGCCUUAUGAUGUGAGCAAAAAAUACAGAAGAUAUGAGUAGGACUCAUCUUCCUGCUUCCUGAUUAUAAAGUUAGGGACUGCUUCCAUGAUUUAGAAGGGAAAUAUUAGUUUCUUUUAAAACGCCAUGAUUUGUACGUGGCAUAAACAGCACUAUCUGCAAAGUCAGACUUUGAUACAUGUGGUGUGUUUGAAUGAUAAACAAUAAAAGCCUAUUCUUAGAGGGCAGUCAAACCUGUCUUUCCUGAAUAAUAAAACCUCCUGGGUUGUUUCAAAUGUGCAGGACAGGGAAUUUUUCUUUCUUAUGAAAAAAAAUAUUAAUAGUCAGACAAAUUAAUAAUUCAGAGCUAAUUUAUACAGGUUAUUUUCUUCUUUUCCUCUGCCUUUUCCAGGGAAUAAUGGUCUGUAGAUGAAAAAAAGCAAAAUAUUGUUUACAUUUGCAUCUAUUCUGCUGGGUGUUUAUUAGAAGAGUGAAGGUCAAAGAAGUUGGUUUUACAGACAAAUGGUGUGCUUGCUUUGGAAGAAUUAAGUGUGAAUUCUUUCUCCUCCUUUGGUAGUUUUCCAAGCAACCACAAACAAAACAGAAGUAUAUACAGUAGCUCAGGCUGUGAAAGCUAAUGGAGCAGAAUGCUGUACAAAAUAUGAAGUACAUCCUUUGAUGGCACACUUCUGUCUCAUGAUGGAAACACUGAAUGAUACAGAGAGAUCCCAGCAAUAAAAGAAUAAGCUUUAACCUUCUAUCUAUGAGAUAGUCAAUAGCAUGGGUAACGUGUUUUUGGUUCUGGAAGUGGUGUGUGCAGCAUUGAAAUUACUGAUAAUGGCUACAUGAGAUUUAAAAGCAGUUCUGUGAAAUUACUGAGGAAUAGAAAGGAUGUUAACCAAGCCAGAUGUAUUUCAACAAGGAUUCAUCAGAGCUGAUAUAAUUCCUGUUGAAAGAGGAAAUAAAAGUUUCUUCAGUGAGUAAGAAUGGUCCAUGAAAUAACUACAGUACUAACAUUUUCUGCAACUUUUUUUUAAUGCCAUCUUUAUUAUAUUUUUAUUAAAAGUAAGAAUUACCUGGUUUGAAAUUCCUGAGUGAUUUGUCAGAAUUGUUCUGAUAAGCAUCAUUAAACGUUUCUUCUCAGUGGUUCGUAAAAGAGCUGAGUGACUCUAGGACUUUGAGUCCCUUGGGAGAAGCAGUAGUUUAAGAAGAUGUAGAACAUAAGUAAACAAGGGAAUUUUACAUAGCUUUAAUCCUUUUCCUUUCUUUGCCACAGUUUAUUUGCCUGAGGUACCACUGGAAGAAGAAAGCAGUCUAUUUCAAGAUUUAUUGUCUGUCUACAUGGUUUAUUUUUUUUUAGCAUGCUUACUUGAAAUAUUGAAAGAGGGAAAUGAGAAAUACUUUUAAGUUUUUCCAUUCCUUAGAGCUUUGAGGCUUCUGUGUUGGAUGCAACCAGAAAAGAACUAACCAGCUAUUGCAAUAAGUAAGGUGCUCAGUGUAAAAAGGGUGCAAAACUUGCAUGAUAGCUUUCCUACAACCUGGGUAAUCUUCUGUCUGAGGUUCCAAACAACCUAUUAGCCCAUCUUGCUGCUGGGAAAAUUUCUCAACAAGAUGUGCUUGUGAAAAAAAGAAAUUUUAGUUUUGACAAAUUCUGGUGGAAACACCUUUUAUUAAAAAUUCCCACCAAGGUUGCUGUCUAUAGUCUAUGGACUGCAGAGAUGUGCUGUAGAAAGUGAAGGCUGAGGCUUGUCUGUUUUAUUUAACUACCUCUGGGACUGAUUGUUUACUAGGAGCCUGGAGAAUACAUAGUCCUUCAUUUUAAGAAUAUAUCUUUAAGAUAUAAUAAGCAAGCACACUUAUUUGAUUAACAGUCCUGUAGUCUCCUAACAUUGACACAAUGAAAUAGAAUUCUUGUGCAUGGCCUGAACUGGGAUAUGUGUCAUCAGGUUCUUGCCUGGACACAAAUGAGCUGAGCACAGGAUCAGAGGCUGAUAUGCUACCUUGGAGUUUCCUGACUGGAAGAACAGGAAUUAUUAUAGUUAUGAGCAACAGGACUCAAAGCCAUCUUAGAAUAACACUAGUAUUUUCCAAAGUCCACAUGCACUUUGUGCAUCUGACUAUCAACCUGCAUUUUGCUUGUAAAAUGGGUAGUAUGAAGAAGACAAAGAUACACUGUAAGUUUCUACCUUACCUGUUUAUCAGUCUCCUUAAGUGUCAUGGGAUGGACAAUCAUAAGCUAAGGAGUACCAUUAGCACAUGAAAAUGGAUGUGAUAUCACAGAUGACCGACUUGAGAACUGCUGCCAACCAAUCAUCCUGUUUUUUUGGUGUGAGAAUGGUUGUUUAAUCUACGAUUUGAUUCAUAAACGGCCAGGAACCAACUGAGUACUUUGUUUCAUUUUUCUAAUAUGUCUGGACAUCAGAGAAGCCAAUGUAGAAGACGAGCAUGACUUGUGUGCUGUGUCAUGACUUUUUUUUUUUUUUUAAGUACUUUCAAGAAAUUCCGAUUUCCAGAUGUAUCUUCUAUCAUCGAGGUAGAGAGGAGUUUGAACUUCUGCUCUCAGGCAGAUUUUCCACCACAUUUGCAGGAAUCCAUCUCUGAUAGGAGAGAAUAAACUUGAAGACACUCUCAGAGAUACAUGUGGCAAUAUAUCUAGAAAUUAUUUGGACAGAACGGAGAAUUAGUUAAUGAACACAAUAUGGAAAGCUAUUAUGAACAGAAGCAGACAGACCGCAACAUUGUUAAAUAUUAAUGGAAAGAAGAAACCUUCAAAUCAAAAGUAACGGUAAAAUUGUCAACAAGGAAAACCAAAUAUAUGUUGGAAGUCAGGCCUAGUACUCCUGAAAAACAACCAAAAAGAGAAUAAAAGAAAGCUGUUGUAAACCA